UACGGAGGGUGCAAGCGUUAAUCGGAAUUACUGGGCGUAAAGCGCGCGUAGGCGGUCGAAUAAGUCGGAUGUGAAAGCCCCGGGCUCAACCUGGGAAUUGCAUUCGAUACUGUUCGGCUAGAGUUUGGUAGAGGGUGGUGGAAUUCCAGGUGUAGCGGUGAAAUGCGUAGAUAUCUGGAGGAACAUCAGUGGCGAAGGCGACCACCUGGACCAAAACUGACGCUGAGGUGCGAAAGCGUGGGGAGCAAAC
rnacentral:rRNA from 1 species